rnacentral:tRNA from 1 species
GCCGGAGUGGUGAAAUUGGUAGACGCGCGGGACUCAAAAUCCCGUGAGGGUAACCUCGUGUCGGUUCGAGUCCGACCUCCGGCA